rnacentral:pre_miRNA from 1 species
CAAGUACUCCCUCCGUCCGGAAUUACUUGUCUUCAAAAUGGAUGUGUCUAGAACUAAAAUACAUCUAGAUACAUCCAUUUCAAUGACAAGUAUUUUCAGACGGAGGGAGUACAAG